rnacentral:tRNA from 1 species
AGGCGCGUAGCUCAAUGGUAGAGUAUCAUCUUGACAUGGUGGUGGUUGGUGGUUCGAUUCCACUCGUGCCUA